rnacentral:rRNA from 1 species
AUGCCCUACUCCUGUUGCGAUAAGCAUUUGGUUUCCAUCCGCAAGACAAGUUUCUGCUUGUGUAACAACAAUACUGUCUGGGUCGUCAAGUUUCUAACUAUCAUCUGUUCCAGGAUCAUCCUGACCAUUAGGUUCCUCGUGUUCUCCUUGGCGGUUCUGUAUGUUGUCUCAAGACGUAUUGGCCUGUUGACACUGCAAAGGAAGUUGGUUGAUGCAAUCAGAUCAAGCUCAGUAUCAGCUGGAGACAUCUUGGAUGAAGUGCAGGAGGGACCUUCCACAGCAAAUGCUCCUCCCAUCUGA